GGCGUCGCUAGUGCAAAUGGUUAGAGCACGCGCCCUCCGAAAGGGUGAAAUGUGGGUUCGAGUACCGCACGACGUCA